rfam:Felis catus isolate Cinnamon breed Abyssinian chromosome A1, whole genome shotgun sequence.
GGCUUUCUGUCGGUGUUUUGGCUGUGACAUCUGUCACUGCAUUGAUCACCAGGUUUGAUUUGGCUGAUCUGGCUGGCUAGGCAGUGUCCCUGCCUCCCUCACUGCUCCAUGUAUGUCCCUCACAAAGCUGUAUACUUGGUCAGAGAGGAUCACCUUGCAUAGAGGAGCAACAUUCUUUGGUCAAGAGUAUACGAGUAGCUGCUAUCCCCUGCUAGAACCUCCAAAUAAGCUCUUAAAAGUUAAUCUUAAAGUUAGAGCUCUUGAAAAUCCAUCACCCAAGACUAAUACAAUGUUACUUUUUUAGAGGUAACUUAAG